CAGCCCCUAGCGCAGACGGCGGAGAGCAGAGAGGGAGCGCGCCUUGGCUCGCUGGCCUUGGCUGCGGCUCCUCGGGAGAGCUGGGGCGCCCACGAGAGGAUCCCUCACCUGGGUCUCUCCUCAGGGAUGACAUCAUCCGUCCACCUCCUUGUCUUCAAGGACCACCUCCUCUCCAUGCUGAGCUGCUGCCAAGGGGCCUGCUGCCCAUCUACACCUCACGAGGGCACUAGGAGCACGGAUUCCUGGAUCCCACCAACAUACAAAGCAGCCACUCACUGACCCCCAGGACCAGGAUGGCAAAGGAUGAAGAGGACCGGAACUGACCAGCCAGCUGUCCCUCUUACCUAAAGACUUAAACCAAUGCCCUAGUGAGGGGGCAUUGGGCAUUAAGCCCUGACCUUUGCUAUGCUCAUACUUUGACUCUAUGAGUACUUUCCUAUAAGUCUUUGCUUGUGUUCACCUGCUAGCAAACUGGAGUGUUUCCCUCCCCAAGGGGGUGUCAGUCUUUGUCGACUGACUCUGUCAUCACCCUUAUGAUGUCCUGAAUGGAAGGAUCCCUUUGGGAAAUUCUCAGGAGGGGGACCUGGGCCAAGGGCUUGGCCAGCAUCCUGCUGGCAACUCCAAGGCCCUGGGUGGGCUUCUGGAAUGAGCAUGCUACUGAAUCACCAAAGGCACGCCCCACCUCUCUGAAGAUCUUCCUAUCCUUUUCUGGGGAAUGGGGUCGAUGAGAGCAACCUCCUAGGGUUGUUGUGAGAAUUAAAUGAGAUAAAAGAGGCCUCAGGCAGGAUCUGGCAUAGAGGAGGUGAUCAGCAAAUGUUUGUUGAAAAGGUUUGACAGGUCAGUCCCUUCCCACCCCUCUUGCUUGUCUUACUUGUCUUAUUUAUUCUCCAACAGCACUCCAGGCAGCCCUUGUCCACGGGCUCUCCUUGCAUCAGCCAAGCUUCUUGAAAGGCCUGUCUACACUUGCUGUCUUCCUUCCUCACCUCCAAUUUCCUCUUCAACCCACUGCUUCCUGACUCGCUCUACUCCGUGGAAGCACGCUCACAAAGUUCCUGACCUGGCCCUCCCGGGGUGCCCUUGGCCAGCCCCGUGCCUCCUCAGGGUGUCCCAGCACCAGCCUGGCACAGAGUGGGGCUCAGUUAGAGUAUGUGGGAUGUUGGUUUCGCCAGCAGGUUCCCAGUGCCCCCGACAAGCCCCUGCUGGUGUCUCCAUCUCCUGCCAAGCAUCCUCCAGUGCCUCCUCCUGUGGGCCUGGCCUCAGGGCUAUGGACAGACUCCUGUCCCAUCCCAGAGACCCCUCGUGAUCGUGCCCUGGCACGUGGGCCGUGGCCCGGCUGGGUCGGCUGAAGAACUGCGGAUGGAAGCUGCGGAAGAGGCCCUGAUGGGGCCCACCAUCCCGGACCCAAGUCUUCUUCCUGGCGGGCCUCUCGUCUCCUUCCUGGUUUGGGCGGAAGCCAUCACCUGGAUGCCUACGUGGGAAGGGACCUCGAAUGUGGGACCCCAGCCCCUCUCCAGCUCGAAAUCGGCAGACUAGGAUGGAAGUGCCCUGCGAGCUGGGGGGCCCUUCAAAGGGCCAAGGAGAAAACGCAGGCCGAGGGACCAGCCUUCCGAAUGGGCUUCAAGCUCCAGUGACCUCCGCUCGCCCCCUCGAAAUGUCUGGAAAACAUAAUGGGCAGAUUUUCUGUCUUCAAAGUUUCCGGCUAAACCUCUUCAAGUUCUUUAUUGUUUGGGACUGAGACACUCAGCCAUGCCUCCACAGCCACGGGGACGCCCUGCACCUAUUCCCACGGGACAGGCUGGACCCAGAGACUCUGGACCCGGGGCCUCCCCUUGAGUAGAGACCCGCCCUCUGACUGAUGGACGCCGCUGACCUGGGGUCAGACCCGUGGGCUGGACCCCUGCCCACCCCGCAGGAACCCUGAGGCCUAGGGGAGCUGUUGAGCCUUCGGUGUCUGCAUGUGGGAAGUGGGCUCCUUCACCUACCUCACAGGGCUGUUGUGAGGGGCGCUGUGAUGCGGUUCCAAAGCACAGGGCUUGGCGCACCCCACUGUGCUCUCAAUAAAUGUGUUUCCUGUCUUAACAAAAA